AGAACAAAACUAAAUGAAAUUGGGAAAUUCCAGCCGCCAUUCUUCAGAACUUCAUCUAGCAGAAGAACCAUGGAGGACAACGGAAGACGUGGAGUCGAUUCCCUUCAGGCUACUAGAGCUGACAACGUAGGUGCCAGUGAGUCUUGAUUGUUUUACAAGGGCAUUCAAACCUCUCACAAAUGCCAUAAAUCAAUCAAAUAAAGGCUUCUUCAACUCCUAGCACUACAAGUCCUAUCUUGCACAACCAUGGUUGAGCUCAGCUUGGAGCUAAUACCACUGUCUAAGCCAGAAGAAUCCAUAGAUCCAUUUAUUAACUAAUCGAGUUUCUAUCAAGGUUGUCGUUCAUUGGGGUCUCUAUAAGCAAUAUCUUCCAUCAUUAGGAUACCUGGACUUGUACCUUCUUGCAGACCCUGGAAAUCUCUUGUGCAUGAGGUAUCAAUCUGCAAAGGUGUACUUUGUGAAUCCUCCCCAUUGCUCAUCCCCUCUUGGAUUACUUCAUGGCUACUGUUAUGAUUGUCUUUCUCUACCCCUUUGUUCCUCCAAUUGGUUUUUCCCGGAGUUUCUGUGUGUGCUUGUGGCAUAUCUGUAUUAUUUUUGUUGUAGCUCACCUUAAUAUAUUGAGGGUUUUCCCUCCCCAUGAGGGCAUUUGUUGUUAUAUUCUCCACUGGUAAUUUCUUAUCUAU